GAGAUAGAGUUUACUUUAUUGAAGUGAGUGGCGAACGGGUGAGUAACACAUAAAUAAUCUACCUCUAUGACUGGGAUAACCAUUGGAAACGAUGGCUAAAACCGGAUAGGAUCCUACAAGACAUCUUGAAGGAUUUAAAGGUGGUUUACACUACGUAGAGAUGAGUUUAUGGCGCAUUAGCUAGUUGGUGAGAUAAAAGCCCACCAAGGCGAUGAUGCGUAGCCGACCUGAGAGGGUGACCGGCCACACUGGGACUGAGACACGGCCCAGACUCCUACGGGAGGCAGCAGUAGGGAAUUUUCGGCAAUGGGGGGAACCCUGACCGAGCGACGCCGCGUGAGUGAAGAAGGCCUUCGGAUUGUAAACCUUUGUCUUGUGGGAAGAUAAUGACGGUACCACGGGAGGAAGCAACGGCUAACUACGUGCCAGCAGCCGCGGUAAUACGUAGGUUGCGAGCGUUGUCCGGAUUUACUGGGUGUAAAGGGUGCGUAGGCGGGCCGACAAGUCAGAUGUGAAAUACCGUGGCUUAACCACGGGGCUGCAUUUGAAACUGUUGGUCUUGAGUACAGGAGAGGUAAGCGGAAUUCCCAGUGUAGCGGUGAAAUGCGUGGAUAUUGGGAGGAACACCAGUGGCGAAGGCGGCUUACUGGACUGCAACUGACGCUGAGGCACGAAAGCGUGGGGAUCAAACAGGAUUAGAUACCCUGGUAGUCCACGCUGUAAACGAUGGAUACUAGGUGUAGGGGGUAUCAACUCCCUCUGUGCCGGAGUUAACACAAUAAGUAUCCCACCUGGGGAGUACGAUCGCAAGAUUGAAACUCAAAGGAAUUGACGGGGGCCCGCACAAGCAGUGGAGUAUGUGGUUUAAUUCGACGCAACGCGAAAAACCUUACCAGAGCUUGACAUCCCAGGAAUCCGAACGAGAGUUUGGAGUGCCCUUCGGGGAGCCUGGAGACAGGUGGUGCAUGGUUGUCGUCAGCUCGUGUCGUGAGAUGUUGGGUUAAGUCCCGCAACGAGCGCAACCCCUAUGGUUAGUUGCUACGCAAGAGCACUCUAGCCAGACUGCCGUUGACAAAACGGAGGAAGGUGGGGACGACGUCAAAUCAUCAUGCCCUUUAUGUUCUGGGCUACACACGUACUACAAUGGCGAUUAACAAAGGGGAGCAGAGCAGCGAUGCCGAGCAAAUCCCAAAAAAUCGUCUCAGUUCAGAUUGCAGGCUGCAACUCGCCUGCAUGAAGUCGGAAUUGCUAGUAAUCGCGGACCAUCAUGCCGCGGUGAAUACGUUCCCGGGCCUUGCACACACCGCCCGUCA
rnacentral:rRNA from 1 species